rnacentral:misc_RNA from 1 species
GAUAUCUGAUUUUGCAGUUUGAGGACGUUUUUUACUAGAUGACAAGUUGAGGAACCUUCGUUGUACUUUUUCCGCAGAAAUUCCAUUCUUGCUGCCCAUGUGAAGGAUCCAGUGCAUAAGCUGGGCCUCCGCGUCACCUGGACUAGGCCUCAGCUGGGCCCAGAAAAGAGCCAAAAGGCCCGCAUCAUUUCGGCUUGGAAAAAGUACACCCAAGGUCCCUCAACUUGUCAUCGACAUACAAAAUCGUCCACGAACCGCAAAAAUACCGAC